rnacentral:rRNA from 1 species
CCUUACCAGGUCUUGACAUCCUUUGACCACUCGAGAGAUCGAGCUUUCCCUUCGGGGACAAAGUGACAGGUGGUGCAUGGUUGUCGUCAGCUCGUGUCGUGAGAUGUUGGGUUAAGUCCCGCAACGAGCGCAACCCUUAUUACUAGUUGCCAGCAUUCAGUUGGGCACUCUAGUGAGACUGCCGGUGACAAACCGGAGGAAGGUGGGGAUGACGUCAAAUCAUCAUGCCCCUUAUGACCUGGGCUACACACGUGCUACAAUGGAUGGUACAACGAGUCGCGAAGUCGUGAGGCCAAGCUAAUCUCUUAAAGCCAUUCUCAGUUCGGAUUGUAGGCUGCAACUCGCCUACA